AGUGAACGCUGGCGGCGUGCCUAAUACAUGCAAGUCGAACGGAGAUUAAGUAGCUUGCUAUUUAAUCUUAGUGGCGCACGGGUGAGUAAUAUAUAGCUAACUUGCCCAUUACUAAGGGACAACAGUUGGAAACGACUGCUAAUACCUUAUACUCCGUGUCUAUAUAAGUAGAUACGGGAAAGUUUUUCGGUAAUGGAUAGGGCUAUAUCGUAUCAGCUAGUUGGUAAGGUAAUGGCUUACCAAGGCUAUGACGCGUAACUGGUCUGAGAGGAUGAUCAGUCACACUGGAACUGAGACACGGUCCAGACUCCUACGGGAGGCAGCAGUAGGGAAUAUUGCUCAAUGGGGGGAACCCUGAAGCAGCAACGCCGCGUGGAGGAUGACACUUUUCGGAGCGUAAACUCCUUUUCUUGGGAAAGAAUUAUGACG
rnacentral:rRNA from 1 species